AUAGACCUUUAGUUGGCAUAUCAUAUAAUUAUAUAUACAGCGGUAUCAAACGUAGAAGUAUUAGAAGAGUAUUAGAUGAGAGAUUUCUAUGGAAUAGCAUCAAGAAAAGAAGAAACUAAUGGAUUUUGAACAUGUAUUGCUGAGGCAUGUCGGGUUGAUUGGAUUAAUCAUAUAGAAGGGUGCGUGGAAGGUGAAAAGACCGCGACUGAAGUUAAUACACGUGCUAAAAACUGAUGGACUAAGAAUUUCGUAAUUCUUCUAGAGUCGAGAAUAUUAUGCUGCAAACAAAUCGUAAGAUUG